rnacentral:rRNA from 1 species
UACAGAGGUCUCAAGCGUUGUUCGGAUUCAUUGGGCGUAAAGGGUGCGUAGGUGGCGCCGUAAGUCGGGUGUGAAAUUUCGGAGCUUAACUCCGAAACUGCAUUCGAUACUGCGGUGCUUGAGGACUGGAGAGGAGACUGGAAUUUACGGUGUAGCGGUGAAAUGCGUAGAUAUCAGGAGGAACACCUGUGGCGAAAGCGGCUCACUGGACCACAACUGACGCUGAUGCACGAAAGCUAGGGGAGCAAACAGG